GGUGAAAGGGCUGAGGUUGUUCCACCCACCUGGCUGUGCAACUGUUGGCCCUCAGAAAGCUCCUACUAUGUUUGGAUCUGAAAUCAUUUUCUGAAAUCAGAAGGACAUCACAUGACCUGGGACACCAUGACCUUUCCGAGAACCAGAGAAAUGUGGUAAGUGUGGCUUCUGAGGCCAGGUUGCCAUGGAAGGCUGUAAAGCGUCUACCUGUUCUUUUGGUACCAUGAUGCACUUAAGCAGCCCUACAGAGAGGUCCAACUGUAUGCUACGACCAGAGGCCUCAUUCAGAAACAAUAGACAAUGUCACAAUGUUGAAUGCGGGUGGAUGCUACAUUACAGUUCAGUCACCAAGAGUCAAGAGACCUCUAGGGUAAGGAGGGAAGUGAAGGCUGGACGAGCCAUGUUGUGUGGGAGGAGGGUGUGAUUUGGGUAAGGACAUGGAGGUCUGUCCUGGUGAUGGGUUCAAUGUACUAAGGGAGAAAUAACUACGUCUGGCAAGAUCGCAAAAGCUUAGGGGGUCUUAGGAAAAAGAGUGAGUUAUAGUUUCCACCCAUGUGUCCAGUCACAAGUCCAUCAUUUUAUCCUGAAAGAGGAAGACAUGCAGGAAGUCCCUGAAGUGAAAGCUGGAAAUAUGGAUGCUAUCUCCUUCCAGACCCAAGAGCUUUGAACCCCAGAUCGCAAUGCAAUUUCAAAUCUAGGACAAAUAUUUCCCCUGAAUUUGUCUAGAAGGAGGCGCCUGAACAAGCCACAUUUUCUAGAGGUCCUGGGGUUAGAGGCUCAGGCUCCAUGGUCAGAAUGCCCACCCUGCUCUGGAUCUCAAAGGCUCUGCUUCCCUGCAAAGCCUGGUUCCAAGCAGUUUCUUUCGGGCUGUUGACCUGGGUCCUGGGAGAAGUCACAGAGGGAAACACAUGGUCCUGCUGAGAUGAAUUCCUUCCAUCUGGACAUUACUGUGUUUGGCAGAAAGAGGCGGCCGGGACUGAAAACACAAAGCCAUAGCUUGAAAGUGCUUGCAUUUGCAUUUUGCAGAAUUUCUGGUCUGGCUAUCCUAGGUCAACAAUGACUCUUCCUAAGAAGAGCUAAGAUUUCUGUGGUCCUAGGGAUUGGCUGCCCUGAGCUGGGGAGAGGCUGGGGUUGAGGCCAAGCUGGAUGUUGAGUCAGUUUAUGAAGGGCCAGCUGUGUUUCCCAGCCCGGGCCAGGAGACUACCCUAAGAUUGGACCAAAAGGAAUAGGAAGCUGACCAGGCCAGAACAGGCCCUAAAGGGUCCAUUCUAACUAACUAGAACAGGUUAGCUAGAAAACAGUGAUGCUGAGCUAGAGAGAUGGCUCAGAGGUUAAGAGCACUUGCUACUCUUCCAGGGGACCUGAGUCCCAUUCCCAACAGAGGAUCACAACGCUUGGUUAACUCCAGCUCCAGGACAUCUGAUACCUUCUUCUGGCUUCCUCUGGAUCCUGAACAUGCAAGGCAAAUAUCCACAUGAAAUUCAUACAUACGUAAAUAAAAUAAAAUAAUCUAAAGUAAGGAAGGGAGGG
rnacentral:lncRNA from 1 species